rnacentral:rRNA from 1 species
ACUUGGCUCGGGAGGAUAUAGCUCAAAUGGUAGAGCUCCGCUCUUGCAAUUGGGCUGUUGCGAUUAUAGGUUGGAUGUCUAAUUGUCUAGGUGGUAAUGAUAGUAUCUUUUACCUAAACGGGUGGCUCACUGUUUCUAAGCAAUGGGGAAGAGGACCGAAACAUGCCACUGAAAGACUCUACUAAAACAAAGAUAGGCGGUCAAGAAUGUAGAGGAGGUAGAGUGUGAAAUCGGGGUUGCGGGAGAGCAAUACAAGCAUCAUGCUACUAGGCAAAGUGGUGGAGUGCUGCACCUUAGAUGGAGAGAGUCCAGUAACCAAAAGUAUCACUAGCUUAUGCUUUGACCCGAGUAGCAUGGGACAUUUGGAAUCUCGUGUGAAUCAGCAAGGACCACCUUGCAAGGCUAAAUACUCCUGGGUGAGCGAUAGUGAACUAGUACCGUGAGGGAAGGGUGAAAAGAACCCCCAUCGGGGAGUGCGGGAAGGGUGAAAGAAACCCCCAUCGAGGAGUGAAAUAGAACAUGAAGCCGUAAGCUCCCAAGCAGUGGGAGGAGACCAGGGCUCUGGCCGCGUGCCUGUUGAAGAAUGAGUAGGCGACUUAUAGGCAGUGGCAUAGUUAAGGGAACCCACCGGAGCCGUAGUGAUAGCGAGUCUUCAUAGGGCAAUUGUCACUGCUUAUGGAUCCGAACCUGGGUAAUCUAUCCAUGACCAGGAUGAAGCUUUGGUGAAACUAAGUGGAGGUUCGAACCGACUGAUGUUGAAGAAUUAGCGGAAGAGUUGUGGUUAGCGGUGAAAUGACACUCGAACCCAUAGCUUAUUGGUUCUCCCCAAAAUGCGUUGAGGCAUAGCAAUGUUCUCCCCGGAAUGCGUUGAGGCAUAGCAAUUGACUGGACAUCUAGAGGUAAAGCACUGUUUCGAUACGGGCCGCGAGAUCGGUACCAAAGCGAGGCAAACUCUGAAUACUAAAUAUGUCCUCAAAAUAAUAGGGGUCAAGGUCAGCCAGUGGGACGAUAGGGGAUAAGCUUCAUUGUCGAAAGGGAAAUAGCCCAGAUCACCAGCUAAGGCCCCUAAAUGACCGCUCAGUGAUAAAGGAGGUAAGGGUGCAGAGACAGCCAGGAGGUUUGCCUCGAAGCAUCCACCCUUGAAAGAGUGCAUAAUAGCUCAUUGAUGAAGUGCUCUUACGCUGAAGAUGAACAGGGCUACAGAAUCUACCAAAGUUGUGGGAUGUAAAAAUGCAUCAUUGGGGGAGCGUUGCGCCUAGAGGGAAGCACCCACACGAGUAGUGAUAGACGAAGUGGAAGCGAGAAUGUCAACUUGAGUAUGCAAACAUUGGUGAGAAUAGAAUGCCCUAAAAACCUAAGGGUUUCUCCGCAAGGUUUGUCCACGGAGGGUGAGGCAGGGCCUAAGAUCAAGCUAAAAAGCAGACUAAUGGACAACAGGUGAAUAUUCCUGUACUACUCUUUGUUGGUCCGAGGGACAGAGGAAGCUAGGUUAGCCGAAAGAUGGUUAUCGGUUAAAGGACGCAAGGCGCCCCUGGUUUUUUAGGGUAACCUAUGCCAUACUCCCAGGAAAAGCUCGAACGACCUUCAAUGAAAGGGUACCUAUACCUGAAACCGACACAGGUGGGUAGGUAGAGAAUACCUAAGGGCGCGAGACAACUCUCUCUAAGGAACUUGGCAAAAUAGCUUCGUAACUUCAGGAGAAGGGGUGCCUCCUUACAAAGGGGGUCGCAGUAACGAGGCCUAAGCGAUUGUUUACCAAAAAUACAGGUCUCCGCAAAGUCAUAAGACCAUGUAUGGGGGCUAACGUGAUACGAACCUAGGACGACCUACUCCUAAACCCGUAUUAUAUUAGUCCAGAUCUUAAUUAAGUUAAAGUUCUAAUGGAAUUGACCUCAACCCCUAACCAACCUGUGGUUAGAAAUCUUGGUAUAAUGUAGACGCCACAAUAGGGGAUGGAAAACCUAUUGAUAAGUUAAGCUAAAACAACCAAUUCUCUAAUGGUGUUUUAGGUGUUCUCAAAGAACAAAGAGAUAAUUAAUCUCACAAGUAUUUUCUCAAUCAAAUUAAAAUUUUAUUCUUAUUGAAAAUUAAGCCUUUAAAUAGGCUUUGAAAGAAACAAAAUAAACCCUAAAAACCCUAGGAAAAAUCGGCCACAUAAUGAAGAGUUCUAGCUUGACCGAAUCUUUCAUUUUCCGAAUCUAAUUAAUUAAUUACCUUAUUUUCAAUUAGGAAUUAAUUAAUUUACAAACAAAAUAAUAAAAUAAAAACUUUCCUAAACUUAUUUGUCCAGCAAAUAAAUAAAUAAAAACCCAAAGUCAAAUGCAAAUUAGGUAACGAGUUGACUUUGACAUCUAGGCUGAAUUAUGUCUUCAAUCGAGCUAACUCAUGACUGUCCGAGCUAACUUAUGUCUGUCUGAGCUAACUUAUGACUGUCCGAGCUAACUCAUGACUGUCUGAGCUAACUUAUGUCCGUCCGAGCUAACUUAUGACUGUCCGAGCUAACUUAUGUCUGCGUGAUGUCCGAACUAAGUUAUGUCAGAUGUCCGAGGCAUGGGUGUCCGAUAUCAAAUGUCCGAUGUAUGGGUGUCCGAUGUAUCAACCUUCACCACUUGGAUACUUAAAAUAGGUCUUUUAUCUUCAGGUAUGGACAAGCCCUUUUGAGAAUGAAUUACUUUCUGGAUAAAGGCAGCAAGGUUGUCCUUAAGCCUCUUAGCUUGAGCCCUAGUGAU